GACGAACGCUGGCGGCGUGCUUAACACAUGCAAGUCGAACGGAAAGGCCUCUUUCGGGGGGUACUCGAGUGGCGAACGGGUGAGUAACACGUGAGUAACCUGCCCUUUACUUUGGGAUAACUUCAGGAGACUGGGGCUAAUACCGGAUAGGAGCUCCUGCUGCAUGGUGGGGGGUGGAAAGUUUCGGCGGUUGGGGAUGGACUCGCGGCUUAUCAGCUUGUUGGUGGGGUAGUGGCUUACCAAGGCUUUGACGGGUAGCCGGCCUGAGAGGGUGACCGGCCACAUUGGGACUGAGAUACGGCCCAGACUCCUACGGGAGGCAGCAGUGGGGAAUAUUGCACAAUGGGUGGAAGCCUGAUGCAGCAACGCCGUGUGCGGGAUGACGGCCUUCGGGUUGUAAACCGCUUUCGCUCAUGACGAAGCUUUGUGUGACGGUAGUGGGUAAAGAAGCACCGGCUAACUACGUG
rnacentral:rRNA from 1 species